AGUGAACGCUGGCGGUAGGCCUAACACAUGCAAGUCGAACGGCAGCACAGUAAGAGCUUGCUCUUACGGGUGGCGAGUGGCGGACGGGUGAGGAAUACAUCGGAAUCUACUUUUUCGUGGGGGAUAACGUAGGGAAACUUACGCUAAUACCGCAUACGACCUACGGGUGAAAGCAGGGGAUCUUCGGACCUUGCGCGAUUGAAUGAGCCGAUGUCGGAUUAGCUAGUUGGCGGGGUAAAGGCCCACCAAGGCGACGAUCCGUAGCUGGUCUGAGAGGAUGAUCAGCCGCACUGGAACUGAGACACGGUCAAGACUCCUACGGGAGGCAGCAGUGGGGAAUAUUGGACAAUGGGCGCAAGCCUGAUCCAGCCAUACCGCGUGGGUGAAGAAGGCCUUCGGGUUGUAAAGCCCUUUUGUUGGGAAAGAAAAGCAGCAGGUUAAUACCCCGCUGUUCUGACGGUACCCAAAGAAUAAGCACCGGCUAACUUCGUG
rnacentral:rRNA from 1 species